GUGUAAGCCUUGAGGCAUUGCACAUUAUCAUGAAUCCUAAGUAGAAGAAUUUUGAAUAUCUGACAUCAAAGACAUCAAUGACAUCCUAUUGCAGUGGUUUAAUUACCUUUGUCUUAUGGUUAAGCCUAAUGCUAAACUUUCUUGUCAUUGCACAAUUCAUCUUUGAUGAACUUAAGAUAUUUGUCAAAUAAGUAUUAAAUUAGACAUCAAUGGCGCAGUGAAAAUCAAUUCAUGCUUUUCUUCUAAGCAAAUCAAAGGAAUUUUUUAUAAUGUUCAUGAAUACUGCCCCUAAAAGGCUCCU
rnacentral:lncRNA from 1 species